rnacentral:rRNA from 1 species
UACGUAGGUGGCGAGCGUUGUCCGGAAUUACUGGGUGUAAAGCGCGUGUAGGCGGGAGGCCAAGUCUGUGGUGAAAUCGCUCGGCUUAACUGGGCGGGGUCCAUGGAAACUGGUCACCUGGAGGUCGGUAGAGGCAAGUGGAAUUCCCGGUGUAGUGGUGAAAUGCGUAGAGAUCGGGAGGAACACCAGUGGCGAAGGCGGCUUGCUGGACCGGACCUGACGCUGAGACGCGAAGGCGUGGGGAGCGAACGGG